UGUUGGGAGGGGCUGGGUUUUUAAGCCGUCGCCAAGUCUGUGUGGGGGCAGGGGAGGCUCUGUGGGGAAGAUGACUCAACCUUUCAACUUAUCUGCUUUUGAGAAAUUUCUCUUCAUUGGCUCCGCAGGGAAAACCUUACUCAGCUCCGAGCAGUCUUUGCAAGUGGGGCCAAGGAGCCACCCUGAGCCAAAAAAGCAUUAUGUCACCGGAAGCCCAAGCCCAGAGAACACAAGGACUUCAGAAGCCAUGUCGAAGCCCCACAGCGACGUUGGGACUGCCUUCAUUCAGACCCAGCAACUGCACGCAGCCAUGGCGGACACGUUCCUGGAGCACAUGUGCCGCCUGGACAUUGACUCCCCGCCCAUCACGGCCCGGAACACUGGCAUUAUCUGUACCAUCGGCCCAGCUUCCCGAUCAGUGGAGAUGUUGAAGGAGAUGAUCAAGUCUGGAAUGAAUGUAGCUCGUCUGAACUUCUCUCAUGGAACUCAUGAGUACCAUGCAGAGACCAUCAAGAAUGUGCGCGCAGCCACAGAAAGCUUUGCCUCUGAUCCCAUUCUCUACCGGCCAGUUGCGGUGGCCCUGGACACUAAAGGACCUGAGAUCCGAACGGGGCUCAUCAAGGGCAGCGGCACCGCAGAGGUGGAGCUGAAGAAAGGGGCCACUCUCAAGAUCACUCUGGACGACGCCUACAUGGAAAAGUGUGACGAAAACACCCUAUGGCUGGACUACAAGAACAUCUGCAAGGUGGUGGAAGUGGGCAGCAAGAUCUACGUGGAUGAUGGUCUCAUUUCUCUGCAGGUGAAGGAGAAAGGCGCUAACUUCCUGGUAACAGAGGUAGAGAAUGGUGGCUCUUUGGGCAGUAAGAAGGGUGUGAACCUCCCUGGGGCUGCUGUGGACCUGCCUGCCGUGUCAGCAAAGGACAUCCAGGAUCUGAAGUUCGGGGUAGAGCAGGAUGUAGAUAUGGUGUUCGCAUCCUUCAUCCGCAAAGCAUCUGAUGUCCAUGAAGUCAGGAAGGUCCUGGGAGAAAAAGGAAAGAACAUCAAGAUAAUCAGCAAAAUCGAGAAUCAUGAGGGGGUUCGGAGAUUUGAUGAGAUCUUGGAAGCCAGUGAUGGGAUCAUGGUGGCUCGUGGUGAUCUGGGCAUUGAGAUUCCUGCAGAGAAGGUGUUUCUUGCUCAAAAGAUGAUGAUUGGGAGGUGCAACCGAGCUGGGAAGCCUGUCAUCUGUGCCACGCAGAUGCUGGAGAGUAUGAUCAAGAAGCCCCGCCCCACCCGGGCGGAGGGCAGCGAUGUGGCCAAUGCUGUCCUGGAUGGAGCCGACUGCAUCAUGCUAUCUGGGGAGACAGCCAAAGGGGACUACCCCCUGGAGGCUGUGCGCAUGCAGCACCUGAUAGCUCGGGAGGCUGAGGCAGCCAUGUUCCACCGCAAGCUGUUUGAAGAACUUGUGCGAGCCUCAAGUCACUCCACAGACCUCAUGGAAGCCAUGGCCAUGGGCAGCGUGGAGGCUUCUUAUAAGUGUUUAGCGGCAGCUUUGAUAGUUCUGACGGAGUCUGGCAGGUAGGGCCUUCAAGGCAGGUAACCCUGUAGGAUAACCAGCGUAUUGCUCCAGCUGCUCUAGAAGACAGCCAGGGCCCUGGGCUCAGAGCCUCUUUUCUCAUCUGCAGGGAGCUCAGGGCAGGGCAGAGCCAAAGGGUCUUUCAGCUCGGUAGGCACAGGUGGUGUCACAGGCACCUGGUGAAGGACUGGUUCCUGUGAGUCUUGAUCUUGCUCAGCUCAGAACCUAUAGUGAUUGGGCUUCUCUUAGCCUUUGCACCCAGGGACAUGUUCCUCAUCAGCUGUCUGUGGGACUCUUUCCCCUCCCUCUCCCAUUGCAACACAGCUCUGACAAAGCUCUGUCCCCCUCUCGUCCCUCUGGACGGAUGUUGCUCCCCUAGAUUGCCCGUGAGGCAGAGGCCGCCAUCUACCACUUGCAAUUAUUUGAGGAACUCCGCCGCCUGGCGCCCAUUACCAGUGACCCCACAGAAGCUGCCGCCGUGGGUGCCGUGGAGGCCUCCUUCAAGUGCUGCAGUGGGGCCAUAAUCGUCCUCACCAAGUCUGGCAGGUAGGACGUGGCAGCGGCUCCUGGAAAUGCCCUGCUCGGUGGCACAUUUCCAUGGGGGUCCUGGGAGCAGCCCAUUGAACAAUGCUCAGAUAGCACCGAGCCAAGGUAAGACCCUGCUGCCUGCCACCUGGACCCUGCAAGAAAGGAGCUCCUUUGGCCUUCCUCCGGGGUCCAGAAACAAGCAGCACCCAUCCCCUGGGCUCAGAGGACUCCAAGCAGCACUUGUAAAGUAUGGGGGACCAUUUGGACCCAAAGCAAGUCUACACAUUAAGAUGAACCUAGAGACUUCACUGCGUAACUGCAGAUAGACAACUGAUUACUUGGUAUUUAAAAGCUGGUCGUAAAGUAGUAGCAGACCACCAACUUUGAUUCUUUCAGUUACUGUGUGCUCUUUAAAAGUUCAUUUUGGAAAAAACAGUGCUAUUCACUGACAUGCCAUUUGGUCAGUGCAUGUCCAUCUCUGUCUUUGAACUCAGAAGACAUUUCUGGCUCAGGAAAGGUCACCGUGUUGUCAUGCAGCCAGGCUGAGGCCUAUGUUUGACCACUGACUUGGGACCCCUUCCUAGUCCUGGACAUUGAGUUAUCACCCUUCACACCCCCAGUCUUGGGGCGUACUCCUCGUCCCUCCCUGCAGGCAGCUGGGGUUCCUUGGGAGACGAGCCAGACAGGCAGUCCCUGUGCACCGAGCGGCGGCAGGGGAGCUGCCUGCAGACUUCCGAUCUGUGCCAAUCCCCUCAGCACAGCGCUUAGGAUAGGCAGCUCCACAGAUUGGGGUUGACCUUUAUGAAAAGGUCCAGCCUUCACUAUCUGACUAUUUUUAGCUUCAGUCUCCUGGGAUUUCACGCUUAGCCCAUCCUGACUUCAGCAAUUACUUCCUUCUGAGAGUCUUGCGCGGAGGCCAGGCUCUAAGCAGGGCGGUUUCUGCUGUAACAUGGCUUAAGUUUCCUUGACACCUGUUGAGUGCUCUCAUAGCUUGCCUUCUGGGGCCCAGUCCCUCCUCCAUAUUCUUCCCCGACUCCUGAGACACAUCUGUAAGUGCAAGUAUACAGGAAGUACCUGGCACCAGGGCUUCAGAGGGACGCCUGCCUUCCAAAGGAACCUGCAUGGGCAGAGCCUCCCACACCAGCACUUCCAGCUCCUGGUCUUGCCCUCUGGGUAGCACCCAGAUUUCUCAGCCUCAUUUAGAUACUCAGGUUUGACUCAAUCGCUAGAACUCUUGUUGCUGGAACUGUUUCAGGGACCUGGAGGAUGUGUAGGGUGGGGACAGGGCCCACCAGUAGGAAAGGUGGCUUGUGUUGUAGAUUCCCAGGGGGUGGUAGGCUCUGUUCCUGUUCUUUGCAGAUGUCAAGAGUCAGGUGCUAUUCACACGCUGCUUGGCUUAUAGCAGUUACUGGCAUCAAGAGAAGUGGGUGCUGGUGAGGCUGAGCCAGGGCUGCCUCCCUGUGCCAGAAUGGAAAAGUUUGGAGGGGGCGUUCUGCCAGCUACGAGUCAUGUGGGGAAAGUGGGCGAGACUGACCAUGCUGGGUCAGUAGGAUCCUGGGGCCCUGGUCCGGGGAGGGGUGGAGGGCAGAUGAAUCACACAGCUAUGGAGAAAAGUGGUACUCUGUAGGGGAUACAGGAAGGGAGCCUGCCCUAGCCAUGGGAGGCAGUUCCUGGCUCCCGCAGCGGGGCCCAGGGAGCAGAUGUUGAAAUGGCCAGAGAGCCUCAGGCUGGCAUAGUGAGUUGGAUUAGAGGGUAUGUUGUCGAAGCCCCUGAGGGGCUUCCUGGGAGGCUUCUGAGACACUGUUUAAAGAUCUCUUCCACCUGUCUUUAUCCCAUCUUAGGUCUGCUCACCAGGUGGCUAGGUACCGCCCCCGUGCCCCCAUUAUUGCUGUGACCCGUAAUCACCAGACGGCUCGCCAGGCCCACCUGUACCGUGGCAUCUUCCCUGUGCUGUGUAAGGACCCAGUGCAGGAGGCUUGGGCUGAGGAUGUGGACCUCCGGGUGAACUUGGCCAUGAAUGUUGGCAAGGCCCGAGGCUUCUUCAAGAAGGGAGAUGUGGUCAUUGUGCUGACUGGGUGGCGUCCUGGCUCUGGCUUCACUAACACCAUGCGUGUAGUGCCUGUGCCGUGAUGGGCCCCGAAAGCUCCUCCGGCCCCUAUCCUAUCCCUUUCCCCCAACCCAUCCAUUAGGCCAGCAAUGCUUAUAGUGAGUGCUCACUUAGGGCUGUGGUGUGGCACUGGUGGGCUGGGACACCAGGGAGGAAGACUAAUGCCCCUGUAAAACAUGGCUACUUUUAAGACCCUGCUCAGGUGAGGUAGCCCGGAGCUAGGCUACUCAUCUUAUGGCCCCACCCAAGCAAGAGAGGCAGGGGUGCAGGACUGGAGGCUCCAGAGCUUAACAUAGAGGGCAACAGCUCCUGCUUCUCCUUUGUGCAGUCCAUCCAGUUCCUGUAGAAAUGUACACUCAGAGAACCCUCAGAACCCACAAGCCUCGUCUGGGGCCAGGUGACAGCCAGCUAGAGAAGGCACUGGUUCCAGUGUCAGCCGACUCUGGCCUUCACUUGCUUCUCCAACCCUGUCAGCCUUCCCCACUCCCACCUUCUUGUGCACUUCUGUUCCUGCCCUCGACUCAGCUGUCACUGCAGACAAACACUCCACCCUCCACCUUCAUUUUUCCCACUCCAGCUGCCUCUAGGCCUGUUGCUAUAGAGCCUACCUGUAUGUCAAUAAACAGCAGCUGAAGCACCU